rnacentral:rRNA from 1 species
UACGUAGGCAGCGAGCGUUGUUCGGAGUUACUGGGCGUAAAGGGUGUGUAGGCGGUUCUUUUAAGUUUGGUGUGAAAUCUCCCGGCUCAACCGGGAGGGUGCGCCGAAAACUGGGGGGACUAGAGUGCGGGAUGGGAGAGUAGAAUUCCUGGUGUAGCGGUGAAAUGCGUAGAUAUCAGGAGGAAUACCGGUGGUGUAGACGGCUCUCUGGACCGCCACUGACGCUGAGACACGAAAAGCGUGGGGGAGCAAACAGG